UAGGCUCAGGGGCGCAGCCUGAUGCAGCCAUGCCGCGUGUAUGAAGAAGGCCUUCGGGUUGUAAAGUACUUUCAGCGGGGAGGAAGGGAGUAAAGUUAAUACCUUUGCUCAUUGACGUUACCCGCAGAAGAAGCACCGGCUAACUCCGUG
rnacentral:rRNA from 1 species